GAUGAACGCUGGCGGCGUGCCUAAUACAUGCAAGUCGAACGCAUUGAGAAAAGUGCUUGCACUUUUCAAUUUGAGUGGCGAACGGGUGAGUAACACGUGGGCAACCUACCUGAUAGCGGGGGAUAACGAGUGGAAACAUUCGCUAAUACCGCAUAACAAUAGAGAAGGCAUCUUCUUUAUUUAAAAGGCGCUUUCAAGCGUCACUAUCAGAUGGGCCCGCGGUGCAUUAGUUAGUUGGUGGGGUGAAGGCCUACCAAGACGAUGAUGCAUAGCCGAGUUGAGGGACUGAUCGGCCACAUUGGGACUGGGAAACGGCCCAAACUCCUACGGGAGGCUGCAGUAGGGAAUCUUCCACAAUGGACGAAAGUCUGAUGGAGCAACGCCGCGUGUGUGAUGAAGGCUUUCGGGUCGUAAAGCACUGUUGUAUGGGAAGAAAUGCUAGGCUAGGAAAUGAGCUUAGUUUGACGGUACCAUACCAGAAAGGGACGGCUAAAUACGUGCCAGCCGCCGCCGUAA
rnacentral:rRNA from 1 species